AGCUGUGGACAAACUUUAUAAAUGAAUGACACAGAAUAUAAAUGUUUCUCCCCCCUGGUUGUGAUGUUGACAUGUAGUUACUGUCAGACUGGUUUGUGCUCAAGUCCUCUUUUUUCUGUGCAGCUCCAUUUUUAAAAGUUAUUAGGGGGUUCAUGUUUGCUAAGAUUGACACCUGAUACAGCCUAUGGGAGGACAGAGAUUGAGUAGAUCACCUGGAGGAUACGCUGUUUGAGCCGAGCGUCAUCACAGCGACUCUCAGCGACUCUCCCGCUGAAUGCGUACAACGCUACUGCGCAAUGCUGGUUUCAGGAAGUGGAGAAAAAACACAGAAAUACAGAGAACUUUUCGGCUUCAAAUCUGUAAACUGGAGGAAGGAGGAACAGAGGAGUCCAGAGUUGUCCGUGGGGACUGAUAUCUUUGGGCUUCAUCCUCAUAAACGAACAGACAGCUGUGAGUUUGAGUUUGACGCUGAUCUGAUGAUAAUAUGAGUGAGUUAGUGUUGAAGCGAACAAACUCUUCUUCUGUCCCUGUGAUUGAAUUUUUGUGUUUUUGUGAAUAAACUGGUUUGGUGUCAGAUUUAAAGUGACAGUUUCACAAAAAAACAAACCCACUAAUUCAGAGAUUUUAUUAGACCAACAGAAAAACCCUUUAAAUCACUCAGACCGGCUCGCUGACGAUGUCAACAUUAGAGUCACAGUGACGCCUGCUGGCCUCUUCAGGUCACUACACCCAGACCUCACUGAUGAUGAUAGGAGGUAAACUCAACUCCUUAUCACAGUUUUUCUCUAAACACAACGAUCACAGCAUCGGUCUUUUUACCGUUCACUCUUCAUGUCGUUUUCACACAAUAUCCAGUCAGCGAACACAUUUACACAAAGUUAACGUUUUCUUAACAGACGAGCGACACCUCCCAACAAAAUGAUUAUUUCUGUUUUAUUUACGAAUGUUAACACACAACAUCCCAUAAUAACAAAAAUAAUAUUCCAAACCUUCGAUAGAGAAUAAAAACCUCUGCUGCUGCAAUGACAUUCAGUUCAAAGUCAAUAAAUCUCAGCUGAUCAUAAACAGUUAAUAAUCGACACACAGAUGGUUUAUGUUCGGUUAUUGGGUCAAAGGUGGAUCCGACACACCAAGAGGUUGUAUCCCAGGUGGAUCACCGUGGAUAACAUCAGAUGUGAUGUUGAUAAAAACAUGUGGCCUAACCCUGAAGAUCGCAGAGGUUAGAUACAGUCAUUUUGUGCUUUUUUUAGGCCCCUCCCCCUUUUUUAUCCGGGCUUUUUGCUGUUAUUUUUUGUUUUUUGUUCAGAAUGCUUUUGUGUGUUUUAUGGAUAUUUUGUUCACUGUCAGCAAUACUGUCAAACUUUUUCUGUUCUAUUAUAUUGUAAACAGUAUUUCUGCUGUAGUUAGUUAGUUAGUUAGUUCGUUAAUUAGUUUGUUUGUUCGUUUAUUGUCCACAAGUGUAAAUUUGUCUUCAGUCUCAUCGUGUACAAAAACAGAUCAACAGCAGCAACAAACACAACACAAAUACACACAAAUACACACAAACCAACAAAAGAGGGAGGACAACAGCGGCGUGUACAGACAGAUCUAACGGGACAGAGGCCCACGAUCGUUCAGCCCUGAUGGCGUGAGGAACGAAUGAGUUGUUGAAGAGCUAAUGAUUUACCUUAAGUAGUUGAUAACGUCGGUCUGAACAAAGUCUAACGAACUCUCCGUACAGCAGGUGAGAAGGAUCGUUUACGAUCUUAACAGCUUCUUUCCUCAUCACUUCCUUGUAGAUUCAGCUGAAGUGUUUCUGCUUCACUCUGAUUUUAGAGGCUCGAUUCACUGUUUUCUACAGCUGACAUCUCUCUGUUUGUCUUUAAGUUACCAAACCACAUUAUUAAAGGUUCAGUUUCCCUCUGUGAGGUUCUCACAGACUGUCUCCAUGAGGUUCUUACUGACUCCAAAGGAGUUUACAGAUGGAGGCGUUGAUCACAGGAUUUAAAGAUGUGGUCAGUGUUGAGGCUGAAAUGAAGGUUGUUGUCAAUAAAGGGACCUAAAUAUUUAAAACUGUAAAUAUCUAAGAGCUGAGAUCAGACCAGUCAAGGAGAGAAGGUACACGCCCUCUGUACCUCCUGAAGUAAACAAUAAAGGAAAAAAACUGAUUUAUUUUUUACUGAAAUACUUUUAAAUGUGAACAUUUCAUGUGAACAAACAGUUCCUAACCAGGACAUUUGGUGUAAAAACGGUGAAUUUCAUGUUUUUCCUGUAAAACUGAAACAUUAAAGUCUCUCUAGUUUUUAUCAUGUCAGUAAUAAUCAGUAUUUUGAACCUGGUGAACUUUGAUUAACUGUAUUUACCUGAUGAAGUGAAAACAAGAGUUUUUCUCUGACAGGAUAAUUUCAUUUAGAGUCAGAUUUACAGAGUUUUGUAAAGUUAGUGUGAGCAGAGAAAGAUGUUUUAUUUUGAAAUAAGAGUUAGUGAAUAUUUAAGAAAAUGUGUUUUUUAAAAGAAGAAAAUUCUGAGUCUGUUCAGAGUUUAGAAAAAGGAUCUGAAGUUUGGGUUUUUGUUUGUAAGGGACUAAAAAAAAACUCCAACUUAACCUGAAGGGAUGUGAUCGGAGGAAAAACAGAAAAUAAUUAAAUAAUGUGGAGAUGUUAUAACUUUGAAACACAACAGUCCCUCCUGUAAUGACAUGAUUACAGACAUAGAUUCAUGUUUUCUAUGAUUGGCACCUGAUACAGCCAAUGGGAGGACAGGGAUUG
rnacentral:lncRNA from 1 species